CGCGGUACUCUUGCCUGGAGGCUGCCUCCCAGGCUCCGGGAGCGGACACCAUGUACGGUUUUGUGAACCAUGCCCUGGAGCUGCUGGUGAUCCGCAAUUACGGUCCCGAGGUGUGGGAAGACAUCAAAAAAGAGGCGCAGCUGGAUGAAGAAGGCCAGUUUCUUGUGAGAAUAAUCUACGAUGAUUCCAAAACCUAUGACUUGGUGGCUGCUGCGAGCAAAGUCCUCAACCUCAAUGCUGGUGAAAUCCUGCAGAUGUUUGGGAAGAUGUUUUUCGUCUUCUGUCAAGAGUCUGGCUAUGAUACCAUCUUGCGUGUCCUGGGAUCUAAUGUCAGGGAGUUUUUGCAGGUGAGAAGUUCGAGGUUCUAACAGUGAAAGUUCUUGGUGCCUGUUGUUAAAUUUGGGCUCUCAAAUACUUUUACUUAGCCAGCUGGACAAGGUUGUCUUGCUGCUGGUAAGGAACCCUAGUGAGCCCUUCUCACACAAAAUCUAAUUAUUAGAUGAUCCUACAUGUAUUUCAGAAUUUUCAAUCAUAUAUUUUCAGUCUCCUGUUGUUGACUUUGAAUAUGCAAGCCUUCCAUUAGUAUUCUCUUAAAGUCCACAGGGUCUAUUGGACCUGUUCAAUUGC
rnacentral:lncRNA from 1 species